GACGAACGCUGGCGGCGUGCUUAACACAUGCAAGUCGAACGGAAACGCCCUGCUUUUGUGGGGUGCUCGAGUGGCGAACGGGUGAGUAACACGUGAGUAACCUGCCCUUGACUUUGGGAUAACUUCAGGAAACUGGGGCUAAUCCAGGAUAGGAUCUCCUGCUCCAUGGUGGGGGUUGGAAAGUUUCGGCGGUUGGGGAUGGACUCGCGGCUUAUCAGCUUGUUGGUGGGGGAGUGGCUGACCAAGGCUUUGACGGGUAGCCGGCCUGAGAGGGGGACCGGCCACCUUGGGACUGAGAUACGGCCCAGACUCCUACGGGAGGCAGCAGGGGGGAAUAUUGCACAAUGGGCGGGAGCCUGAUGCGGCAACGCCGCGUUCGGGAUGACGGUUUUCGGGUUGUAAACCGCUUUCGCUUGUGACGAAGCGUGAGUGACGGUAAUGGGUAAAGAAGCACCGGCUAACUACGUG
rnacentral:rRNA from 1 species